rnacentral:rRNA from 1 species
UACGUAGGGUCCGAGCGUUGUCCGGAAUUAUUGGGCGUAAAGGGCUCGUAGGCGGUCUGUUGCGUCGGGAGUGAAAACUUACAGCUUAACUGUGAGCGUGCUUUCGAUACGGGCAGACUUGAGGCAUUCAGGGGAGAACGGAAUUCCUGGUGUAGCGGUGAAAUGCGCAGAUAUCAGGAGGAACACCGGUGGCGAAGGCGGCUCACUGGACCGGAACUGACGCUGAUGCGCGAAAGCGUGGGGAGCAAACGGG